rnacentral:rRNA from 1 species
GGCGGCAUGCCUUACACAUGCAAGUCGAACGGUAACGGGCCUUCGGGUGCCGACGAGUGGCGAACGGGUGAGUAAUACAUCGGAACGUGCCCGAUCGUGGGGGAUAACGAGGCGAAAGCUUUGCUAAUACCGCAUACGAUCUACGGAUGAAAGCAGGGGACCGCAAGGCCUUGCGCGGACGGAGCGGCCGAUGGCAGAUUAGGUAGUUGGUGGGAUAAAAGCUUACCAAGCCGACGAUCUGUAGCUGGUCUGAGAGGAUGAUCAGCCACACUGGGACUGAGACACGGCCCAGACUCCUACGGGAGGCAGCAG